AGAUUUGUAACAGUUUACAUGAAAUUCUGACAGUUUACGAAAUCUAUCAGUCAAAAGCAGAUGGCCUGUGUUGGUAGGCUUUUUCUGUUAUAAGGAAUAUAUUUUCAACAUAUGUAUUUCAUUUAUAAUAUAUUUUCUCACAGGCUCUUAUUCUUAAAAAUCAUUUAAUCAACACAUGAUACCCUCCCACGCUUUAACUUGACACUUCAAUGUUCAGAUGUCAUCUAUCUGAAGUUCAGUAAGAGACAUGAUUAUGCAACAAAUUCUUUAAAAUAUCGAUCCUAAAUCACUGAAAACAUUUGUUGUAUCCUCAUGCCUAACCCUUUUAUGAAUGUAUUUUGCAGUUAGGCAUCCAGGUAUCCUUAGCUCUGACACUUGACCAUUAGGAUUUCUUUUUGAAUGUGGUUGUGUUGGCCAUAGCUGGCCACAUGUCCUUGAGGUGAGGCCAUAGAGGGUGGCACAGUCUGGCCAGGAAAGAAUGGAGGAGAGGAAGAGCAUGGAGAGACAAGUCAUCCCCCAAGGAGGAUGAAUUUCCAGUGGCUUGAAGAGUGGCCACAUGACAACCACUGGGGCUUCUCCCCUGAGUCACUAUGUUUGGGAGCUUGGUGGAUGGGUUAUUGCAGUGGAAUUGCCAGGUCACAGCCUGAACCAAUGGUUCAGCACCAAGUGAGAAGGUGUGGCUAACCCAGGGAGCUCAGGUGCAAGCAAUGCACCUGAGUGACCAGAAGGGGUGGAGUUUGAAUCUACCCCUCCUCAGCUUCAUUUAAGGGUUAGCAGUUGAGGGAGUAGCAUCUCUCUGGAUGGGGAUUGCACUUUCCUUGAGCAUCACUGGCUGUCAGAAGGGCACCCAGAUGCUUAAUCCAGAACUUCAUUAAUGAGAUUAGCUGUGUUGAGCGAAGAACUUGGGGUCUUGGAGUUGUGUUAGAUACCUUCUAAAAGGCUAAGAUGGUAUGCUGCUGUGAGCUGCACAAAUGUAUCUGGAGUCACCAGAAUAUGUAAAUGGCCCUAAGAGGAAUGCUGAUUACUCUAGUGAGCCUUUUGGGGAGUUGUAUCUGGCACAGAAGGCUGCAUCUUCUUCAGACAACUAUGAAUUUCUACUUUUCAGGGAUCUCAAAUGUCAUGGUUACCCAAUGACAGAAAGCACAACACAGUGACAGAGAAUUAAAAGUAUCUGGUGCCCCCAGCCGGCCUCAGUUGAAGUGAAACCAUUGUAAGAACACUAUUUUCUCGUAUUAGUCAACAUUCAAUGUCUGAAUUCCUUCGAAGAGCUCUCUCGUGAAAAGAAUAAUAAUAAUAUAAAUACACAAUUCUGUGUUGCUGGGAUUUUCUUGCAUCUCUUUAUCACUCUGUGCCAACUUGAAGUCCAGGUCUCAGAUCAGGAUGUAACUCUUGCUUGUGAGUACCAGCUUCCACCUCUGGAUAUCUGUAGUUUAACUGCAGAGUGUGCAGUGGCAGUCAGCUGUCAGAAGCCAGCAAUGGAUUAGAAGGAGGCACCCAGAGGAAAAAAAAAAAAAAAAACUUGGAUCCUAAUUCUUUGCAAUAGAAAUCUGGAGUUCUGAUUAGCAAUUUUUUUCAGUCAAAUAUGACCACCAGCAUUUCACUUUUCCUGUUGACCUUUCUGAGAUGCUUGAGACAAUCAAACAUGUGCGUCUUGGUAAUUGUUACCUCCUUUGGAUCAACUGGCUCCACAGUCAUUUGUUUUCCUGAUGAUUUUUGUCUGUUGUCACUGAAAAGUCCCUCCCACAUAGGACAGCAUUGUACAGAGGUCCUCAGUAUUUUCUUGAACACACUCAGUCGUCAUCUCUGUGCUGAUGACACACAGUUCUGCUCCAGACCUACCUUCUCCUGUCCAAAUAAAUGUCUAGGCUCCCUCUGUGGUCAUCUCAUCUUGCCCAGUUUUCUCUAAUUGAAAAUUGAGUUGAAUUUCUUUUUUUGUUUCUCUGUUUCUGACUUACUCAAAGGUUGUCCAAUACCCUCUUUAUAUAUAUGGAAAACUUUAUAAACAAGCAUGUUUGAUAGUGGCCUGGGUGGUGUCUCUGACUCCUUAGCAACUGGUUGCCAGGCCAUGACAAAUAUUGCAGGUCACCUCCCUGUGAUCUCCAAGACACCUCUGUCUCCCACUUGCCCACAGAGGUAAAUCUCUUACUUGCAUCCUCACUAUCUUACGUUGUGAUUACUGCAAAAUCAUUUUAUCCUGCCUUGACAGCUGCAGUUCUGCCCUUGUGAUAUCCAUCUAAAAUGAAGGAUGAUACAACUGUUUAUCCAGUUAGUCUCUUUGACGGUCCCACCCCUGUGUCUAUGAAUCAGUCCACUGGCUUCAACUUAUCUUCUGCAUAAAACAUAAACGCUUCUCUUCACUUUUAAAGUUGCUCCUUAAAGACCUUUAAGGUAGUUCUUCUAACGUGUGUUUAAUAUGCAAUAGUUUAGUCCCUUGAUUAGUAUACACUAAGAAAUGUUAUGAAAAAUUUAUCAUUUUCUUAUCAGCUCAGAGUUUUCGCUUACGAAUCACAAGCUGCUUCUUUGUGUUAAAGCCUCUCUGAUAAAAGAUUAGGUAUAAAACACUGAAGGAAACAACCUUUAAUUUCAUAUAAAUAAUAUGGAAAAAAGUGGUUUGGUAAAACAGUACUGUAAUAGCAGAAUCGUGGAAAUGUUAGCUUGAAGAAGCUUUUGGAGGUCAUACAUCCAAGGACCCAAAGCACAAGUAUCCCUGAAACUGGAGCAUGUCAGCCAUGAAUUUGUCUAGCCAGGUCUUUGAAAUUCAUAGGGCUGAGGUUCCACCAUCUCUUUGGGCAACAUUUUCCAGGCUUGACUACUGUCCUGGGAGGGUGUUCAGCCAGAAACUGACAAGCCACAAUUUGAGAUCAUUGCUCUUCUUUUAUUGUAUCAUCUGACACUGCUGGGAACAGUUUGGCUUCACCAUCUUUGUAAACUCAAGUAGCUGCUGGCUGCAAUUAGGUCACCCUUUAGCAUCCUUUCUGCCAGACUGAGCAAGCCCAGAUUCCUCAAACCCUUUCUGCAGGAUCAUUUGCUGUAGGCCCUGACCUAUCUGCUCUUCUUAUGUUCCUCCACAUCUGUCUCUAACUGUCCUAAAACUCAGCAGUGCCUAGUGAAUAAGAGGUUAACAAGUUCCCCCUGUGAUAUCUGUUCUCCUGGGUGCGCAGCUGAAAGAAAGGAUUAAGUAGGCAGGAGGAUGGACCAAGUUAAUUAUUUUUUGGUAAUACCAACUAGCUGCUCAUCUUGAAUGGCUAUUUUCUUCAAGAACCUAUUUAUGAUGAUUCCAGUACCAAAAAGAGAAGAAGAGCCUUUUCAAUUAGAACGUGCAUAUAACACCUAUUUACAGAUUAAUUUAAACAGCAUAGUUUAGAAACCUUUAAACCUAAUCCUUUCACUACCUUGUGGUAGAGAGUUGAUUUUUUUUUUGAAGCACGAGCUCCUCGUUUUGGGAAAGAUGUAUUUAUGGAACAUUUUUCUCCUGCUGAGAAGGCAGAUAGCAGUUUGCUUCUCUGAAGUCAUGUCAUUGCCUGACUCAGGGCAGUCCAAGCAUUGAGUGACCAUAUUCAUUGCUUUUCAGAAAAUGCACAAUUAAUCUAAAGUAUAAAAGAACUAAAAAUAAAGUAGAACUGAUUAAAUACUUGCAUUUUACAACCCAUGUAUUUCAUUACAUUAGCCUUUUUUGUACUUAUGGACUUACUGUGGAGAGCUUGUUGUUUUCUCACACUUGCUUAUUUAAUCAUUCAAACUAGUUUGUAUUUUUGCUGCUGUUUUGUAACUCUUUGUAUCAAAAACAUUUUGGGGAAAUAUUCACAGUGAUCCCCGUUGAAUCAUUGUGUGGUUGAUCGGAUGGGAGAGGCAUGAUGUCAUUUAUCUAAUUUAACAGUGGCAACAAGCAAACCUUUUUGCCACACAUAUUUUGCUCCCAUAUAAAAAUGUGGCUCAGAUGCUGCUCAGCCAGUCGCUGUCAUCCAGCAUUGAAAAGUUUGUAGUGAACACCAAAGGAAGCAAACUUGACUGAAGUUAAUACUCCUGAGGAUCUCAGAGUAACUUUGCACUAUAUGCCAUUUUAUUUUUGUUCUUUGAAUGUAAGCCACCCUUAGGGAUCAGAGCUAAUGCCAAAUUACUAUUUUGGCUUUAAAAUGAUUUCCAGUUAUGUGGGCAGGAAUGUCUCCCUAAAAGUCUCCAAACAUAGCAUACAUAAGCACUACUUUAUAUUUCAAUCUAAUUUGAAAUAAUAGCUUUGAUAUUAAAAUGGAGUUCAUAAUGGGAUUUAUGAUCACUGAGUUACAACACUGAAAAUUAUUUCUAUGGAUAUGAAAAGUUCUGCUCUGUUUGCUGUAGGUAUUUUUCUAUUGUCAUUUCCAUAUACACUUUAUGAGAUGAAGAGCUAGAAAAAUCUCACACUGCACAUCAGUUUUCUGGUUUGGCUUUGCAUGACCUGUAUUCUAUGGUAAUUCAUCAUGUCAUGUGUUUAUCUCUUAAAAAAAAAAAAAAUUGCUAAUUUUCCUGGUCUUGACUUUUUUCAGUUGCAUGUCUCCUAUUUUUGAGGCAGUGUUGUCUUCCUUUCUUGGUAGGCCCAUAUUUUUAAAAUUCUUUUCUGGAGUCUCUCAUGCAUACUGAAAUUACUUCUCUAAACUUUUGCCUAGUAUUAGGUUUAAAAUAUGUUGUUUCUAUUUUGCCUUGCAAAGCACAAAUCAAACUAAUGAAAUUAGUAACAUGGCUGGACGGUUCCAAAAUGGUUACUACUUACUUACUCAUUUAAAACCUUGUAUGAAAUUUGAUAUUUUUAAUAAACCUCUUCAUUGUAUACAUUGCCAAGGAGGAAAAAAAUCUGAUUUAUUAUAACUUAUAAUGUUUUUUGUUGACUGGAAGUUCUUUUUUUAAAUAUAUCUUAAUUCUCAAUCACCUAUACAACUUCAGUAAUACAACAUGUAGUGACUUCUACACUCUUAAAAUGUUCUAUUCUGCAUCAUGAAAAAUCCUUCACUGUACUGUUAAGAGAUCAGCCUGUAUGGGAGAUGUAAUUUUUUCAGGGUAGGAAUACUGUAGAAUAAAUAUAAAGAGUGAUGCAGGCUUACUCACAGAGGAGCUGUCUUUAAACUUGUCCAGGCAAGGACGUGCCAGUGCACAGUGAGGGGCCUGAAAAAUGUUUCUGGUAAAAUCUCAGUUUAAUGGUUAACAUAAUUUGCCUGUUUGGAAUGUUUCUGCUUCCAAGCAGAACUGCUAUUGUAUUUUGGCAUGUUUCCUAAGUUAUUCUCACUUUCUAGCGUUUCAUUGAUUUACCCACAAAGUGAUGCUUUGAAGUGUAUCAACUGGUGAUUUGUCUUGUGAUUUUUACUAGUGGGUAGAAAGAUACUACAGAGUCAAUGGAAGCUGAAUUUGGAUGUUGUUACCUUGCUGAACCAAACACCGCAGAAAUGUGAUAUUUGCAGAGUUUUCUUUAAAAAUAAAAAAGUUUCGUUUUGUUUGGAGGAGUCUGUUGGUUGUUUCCUGUUUGUGGCUAUUGAGGCCUGACUAGACUAGUUACAGUUGCUGAGAGGAUGUAAAUGCACUUAAUCAUACAGAACCCAUGUAUUUCUGCAGUGCUGCAGUUGUAGCUAAUGAAUAAAAAAUGGAAAAUACUAGAAAAUAAGGCUCAAGCGUUGUCUUUAUCUUUGGGUAGUGUAAGUAUUCAUGCAUCUUUGGUGUCACUUCUUUCUCUGACACAGAAGUUAGAAGCAUUUAAACCACUUAUUGCCUCCCAGUCUGAUGAAGUCCUGCUUUAAUGGAUUGGUUUGGCUGUUCAUCAUGUAAUAUAUAGAAAAGAGUAUUUGGCCACCUCUUGAUGCAUGUGAACUACUAGGCUGUUGGUUUGCAUCCAGCGAGAGAGCAAAUUCCCCCAAACCAUCUUCUGCCUGCUUGCGUUGUUACACCCUGCAAAAAAUGAAUUGGCUCUUUCAGUUUGAAUGUCAGCAGGCAGGUGCUUCUUCUGAAAUUACCAUAUAUUGAAGUUGGAAGUUAAGGCCAAAAAAAGUUCUUAAAUUCUUGACAGCAGAGCAUCCUUCUAGGUCAAGCUGGUUUCAGACAGCCUGACAGUGCCUGUGUUGUAUGCACCACAGUAUGUAAGUAGGGGCCUUACUUUUUCAGACUU